CCUACGGGAGGCUGCAGUGAGGAAUAUUGGUCAAUGGGCGCGAGCCUGAACCAGCCAAGUCGCGUGAGGGAAGACGGUCCUAUGGAUUGUAAACCUCUUUUGUCGGGGAGCAAAAGACGCCACGCGUGGCGUUCCGAGAGUACCCGAAGAAAAAGCAUCGGCUAACUCCGUGCCAGCAGCCGCGGUAAUACGGAGGAUCCGAGCGUUAUCCGGAUUUAUUGGGUUUAAAGGGAGCGUAGGUGGGUUGUUAAGUCAGGUGUGAAAGUUUGCGGCUCAACCGUAAAAUUGCAAUUGAUACUGGCAGUCUUGAGUGCGGUAGAGGUAGGCGGAAUUCGUGGUGUAGCGGUGAAAUGCUUAGAUAUCACGAAGAACUCCGAUUGCGAAGGCAGCUUACUGAAGUGCAACUGACAUUGAUGCUCGAAAGUGUGGGUAUCGAACAGGAUUAGAUACCCUUGUAGUC
rnacentral:rRNA from 1 species